GCUGGUUAGUCCAACUGUCUGCAGUUCAGCAUACUGUGCAGAUGUUAGCAGCAUUAACACCAGCUCUUCAGCAGUCAUACCAGCGACUCUCUUAACUGAUUAUUAUUCUGCUGACCCCUGUUACAACUACACUGUGCUGGACGAUCAGUGGAGAGCCAUAAAUAAUAC